CGUCUUCAUCGGAACCCCACACCUCAUCAUCCUCUUUCAAGGUCCGCCACCCACGCGUACUCGCGCGUGCCUUGCUCUGGUUGCUGAAGCCGAGGGUUGAACCAGUCUUGGACAGCCGCGGUGAUGACGGAGAAGACGGAGACGAGAGGCGUCGCCGGAUCGAAGCUGGUCCAAGCUGCAGCCGCUCCGCCAUUCCGCCACCGCGUCGCGUCGGACAGUGCGCCUCCACUACCUGCACCGCCACGGGUCUCAGCAAGCCGUCUCUCCAUGAUCUCUUCAUUCGAGUUCGCCGGAAACGUCGACGGGACUUUGACGACUUGGCAGUUGGCGCGAUGAGCUUCUUGACGGCACCACCUCCAUGGCGAAUCCGUUUAAGUCUGUGACGAUAGGGUCGAGGUUUGGACGCCGAAAGGAGAGGAAAAUAGAGAGAUAGAAACAGAGAGAGAUAGAGAGAAGGUGGUGGCUGAUUCGUGGGGUGUGUUGGGUGUAGGAUGCAUGCAUGGGAUUCAUGGAAUGGGUAGUGGGCUGGUUGGAUGAGUAACAAAAGUGGCCAUGGCGAGAGUGCUAUGAUAAUCGGCAAUAUCAACGAUCAACAAGAAGAAAAUAAUCCAGAAAAUCCAUGAAAUAUAACAUAUAAUCCAAUCCAAGCUGAUAAGCAAUGCCAAAUAAACCCAAAAUGAGGAAGAAACGAGAAGAACAUGAAUCAAACGGGGUAAAAGACCUACCUCAAGCUCGCCUGCAGCAGUUUUUCU
rnacentral:lncRNA from 1 species